GUGCCAGCAGCCGCGGUAAUACGUAGGGGCCGAGCGUUGUCCGGAGUUAUUGGGCGUAAAGCGCGCGCAGGCGGCUUCGCGCGUCCGACGUGAAAGCCCCCGGCUCAACCGGGGAGGGUCGUUGGGUACGGCGGAGCUUGAGGGCGGUAGAGGUUGGUGGAAUUCCCGGUGUAGUGGUGAAAUGCGUAGAGAUCGGGAGGAACACCUGUGGCGAAGGCGGCCAACUGGGCCGACCCUGACGCUGAGGCGCGAAGGCGUGGGGAGCGAACGGGAUUAGAUACCCUCGUAGUCC
rnacentral:rRNA from 1 species